ACGCGCUUCCGAUCACGAAUGUUGGAUUGCGAGUUUCAGCAGUUUGAAAAAUAAAUCAAAAGAUUUUCUUUUCUUUUA